UCGGUGGCGUCACAGAAGUUUCCCGUGAAGGUAGUUUUUCUUCCUUCUCUGUUACUACGACUUCAUUCGUUUCAUUGCCGGGCAGAAGCUCCUUUGUUUUCUCUGUUCGGUCUACUAUCAAAGGUCCAUCGCCAUUUUCUGUAACAUUCCUACUCUCCACCGAUGUUUCCUUGAUGGUUUCAUGUGAAGGUAGUCUUUCUUCUUUCUCUGUUACAAUACUUUCAUUCGUUUUAUUGCCGGCCAGAAUCUCCUUUGUUUUCUCUGUUCGUUCUAUUUUCUGAGGUCCAUCGCCAUUUUCUGAAGCAUUUC